UACGUAGGAUGCAAGCGUUGUCCGGAAUUACUGGGCGUAAAGAGCUCGUAGGUGGUUUGUCGCGUUGUUCGUGAAAACUCACAGCUUAACUGUGGGCGUGCGGGCGAUACGGGCAGACUGGAGUACUGCAGGGGAGACUGGAAUUCCUGGUGUAGCGGUGGAAUGCGCAGAUAUCAGGAGGAACACCGGUGGCGAAGGCGGGUCUCUGGGCAGUAACUGACGCUGAGGAGCGAAAGCGUGGGGAGCGAACAGG
rnacentral:rRNA from 1 species